CCUACUCUUGACAUCCAGAGAACUUUCCAGAGAUGGAUUGGUGCCUUCGGGAACUCUGAGACAGGUGCUGCAUGGCUGUCGUCAGCUCGUGUUGUGAAAUGUUGGGUUAAGUCCCGCAACGAGCGCAACCCUUAUCCUUUGUUGCCAGCGGUCCGGCCGGGAACUCAAAGGAGACUGCCAGUGAUAAACUGGAGGAAGGUGGGGAUGACGUCAAGUCAUCAUGGCCCUUACGAGUAGGGCUACACACGUGCUACAAUGGCGCAUACAAAGAGAAGCGACCUCGCGAGAGCAAGCGGACCUCAUAAAGUGCGUCGUAGUCCGGAUUGGAGUCUGCAACUCGACUCCAUGAAGUCGGAAUCGCUAGUAAUCGUAGAUCAGAAUG
rnacentral:rRNA from 1 species